UCAAAUAUUUAUAUUUAUAUAUAAAUAUUUUUGUGGAAACCUAUAUAUAUCUUAGUUUGUUGAUCCUGUUUUGACUAUGACAUAACUGAAAUAAAAUUUUCAGGAAACAAAAUUUACUCUUACUACAUGCUGUACGCUUUUAUCUAUCUUUGUGCCUUACCACUUUGUUCAUUUUCUUCCUUUCUCCCUUCACUCCUCACCACUUGCUGUCUCUCUUUUUAAAAAGCUGUUUGUGACCUCGACUCACUAAUGGUUUUUUUAAUUGAUGGGUUAUGAACUGUAGUUUCAAAAACCCUGCCUUAAAGAAACUUACAUAUAAGUGCAAAAGAGACAAGGAUAAGGAUUUCAUAACAGCAUCAUUUGUAACAGUGAAAAAUUGGAAGCAAUCUUAAGCAUUAAUAAAUGGAGACUAGAUAAAAAAAACUAGUAUAUCCAUAUAAGGAUUUUUAAUUAUACAUCACAAUAAAUCAGUGAAUUACAAUACCCAUAUUCAAUGGAUACACUUAAAAAUAUAAUCCUUAUAUAGAAAGGAAGGUGCAAAACAAUAUAUAAAAUAUGAUAUUUAAAUGAAGAUUAACAUGCAAAGCCAUACUAUAUAUAGUUAUUUAGAUAUACACAGAUGCAAAAAUACAUAAAGAAAUCCAUGGAAAUGAUAGACACCAAAUGUAGGCUAUCUCUGGGAGGGAAGUAAAAGUAUUUCUGUUGUUUAGAUACAUGUAUAUUUUAAAGUAGGGUGGUAGAUACAUAUUAAAUAUUUUACCUUCCUUUGUAUGUAAAAAAUAUUUUACAGUAAGUAUUUUGAAAAGAAAGACUACAAUAUUGACAGUGAAACUGAGAUUUCUCUCAGACAAAAGAGCAAAAAGAAUUGAACAUUAUGAGAGAAAGUUGGAGACCUACCAAGUGGAUCCAGAUCAGUAUCUGUGAAAUAGGAAUUCCAGAAGUGAAAAAUAGGUCCACAUUGGGAAGCAGUAGAUAAUAAAAUGGUAGAAUAAGCUUUUCUUGGGAUGAAGAAUGCCAUCAAAUAAUGUAUACUAAAAUGAAGUUUCUGUUAAAAUCAAAUACUGUAAAAAUUCUGAAUUCCAAAGGUGAAAAGAAAAUCAUUUCUAGAUAAAGUAAAUAGGCUUACCCUGAUGGAAAAAAGAAUCAGAUUGGCAUCUGAUGUUUCUUAUGCAGCACGAGAUACUAAGAAAGAGUGAGAAUUGCUUAUAGAAUUCUGAGAUAAAAGUGUUAUGAUCCUAAAGUUUUGUAUGAAGCAAAAACUAUUUUUCAGGUACCAAGGCAAAGUAUGUAUUUGUUCCAAAGGACUGAACUAUUACACUUAUAGACUUAAAUAAAUGAAUCUGUUAUUUGGAAGUACUACUUAAGCAAAAUGAAAUGAAUCAGAAUAAAGAAUUCUGGACUCAGAAAAGGGAAGGUUUAGGCAAACCUUACAGAUAUCAUGGGUUUGACUUCAUACCACUGAAUAAAGUGAGUAUCUGAAUAAAUCAGGUUGCAGUUAUUUUGCUUGUGAAGGGUCAUGCCUUCAAUAUGUAAAAAAGCACAUUUUUGAAGUGCAAUAAAAUGAAGCACAACUAAACAAGAUGCAUGUGUAUGUGUUGACAAAAGCAAACAACCAAAACCUAAUAUAUCAGUGAAACUUAUGGUUAAAUCUAAAAUAUUGUUAAUAAUGUACUUCAAAGUAUAAUAUUACUUUAGAGAAAAUAUCCCUAAUAAAAUGAAAGAGACAAAGAAAUGCCAACUAGGAAAUGAAUUAUAGAUGACUUAAUAAUAGAACCUAUAGACUAGCCAGUAAAAAUAAGGUGAAAUGGGGGAAGUAAAACACUACUAUGCAUAGCAUGCUAUGCAAAGAUUUCUACUUACAGAAUUAUAGGAGUGGAUACUUUUUACUUCUUGAUAUUUUUGAAGAUUUAUAGAUGGAAAUAUAUGUUAAAAAAUUUUGAGACUUCUGGUAAAAGAUGGCAAAAGAUGAGCUCUCCUAGCUUUCUCCAUUUGUGUUUGAAAUAAUUAAAUGUGUUCUUAAAAAAAAAUCAGGCUGAAAUUUUUCUUAAAAAAUGUAUUUUUUACUUAGGCCUGCCUGUAACUUUUUAAAAAAAUUUUGUUGCUUUGGGCAACAAGAAAGGGUAACAUUGGUGUAGCAGAUUUGGGGGAGUUCUAUGAAGGUACAAAGGAGAUGGAAUGAGAGGAGCACAGAAACAAGAGAGAAAACCACCAUUGAAAGUGAAGUUUUUCCUCACUGGACUUCAAGGGACUACAUUUGUGGUGUUGACAUUUUGAAAGAUUUGGAGUGGUCUGUGGGGUAAUCAUCAGAAUGAUUAAAAAACUGUGUCUGUGGGGGUUCUCCCUUCCUCAUUUGUACAGAAUGAUUGUGUUCUGGGUGUAGUAUUUGUCUCUAGGAUAGAAUUGUGGCUUUUGUUCUGCAGAUAAUGAUUUUGGAGAAAGCUUCUGGUAAUGUGUGAUGGGGUUAGAGAGAGGAUCAGAACAGAGCUGGAGAACUCUACCAAGACACAGGUAGAGGUGAAGGAGAGGGAAAGAGAACGUAGUCCCAUGCAUGCAUUAAAAUACUGUACUCCAAAAGUAGAGUCUUCCUGAUGUUGGGAAUCUGGGGGGGGGGGGUGUGGUUCCAGCCUACAACUGCUUUAUGACCACAUGUUGUAAAAUAAAGCAUGCCUCUUGAUGCACUCCAUCUACCCACAUUCAUCCUGAAAUCAGCUCUCAUUCAGGAAGAUGGCCUCAGAGAGAUACAGAGUGAUAGAUCUACUGGAGAAAACUAGGUCAUUUAGAUAUCUCUAGAACACCAUUCAUAAAUUUGGAAUACCAAAGAUCAUCAGAAAACCAGCAAUACUGAUAGAGUAAGAACUAAGAGAAAAACACCCCUGGAGCAUAGGAAUGAUGCAAACAGUAGAUGGAACAUAAAUGUAUUUUUCGUAGGCCAUCAUUAAGUAUUAUUGACUUAGAAAAGAAAUAUAAAUGGCUUAGGAAAUGUAAACAUAUGCUCAAAUUCACUCAUUUUAAAUUCAAUUUUAAAAGAUGCCAUAUUUUAGAAUAAACAAUUUGAUAAGUAGAUAGUAAUGGUGAGGAAACCAACACUUGCUCAUAAAUGUAAUUUGUAUCUUCAGACAUUUAAGUGGAUAAAACAGCUGAAAAAAUGAGUAAGGCUCUUCUGAAAGAAGCAAUCUACAGAGUUGUCAGAAACAAAAAUCUGAUUGAUAAAAUAAAAAAAUUAAAAGCAAGGGCUGAAAACUAAAUUAAUGAUUUAGAAGGAAAGUUGGGGAAACAUCCCAUAACCUAAAGAUAAAAAAAUGAAGAUAGAACAUAUGAGCAAAUGUUACAUCACAUGGGGGCAUGGAACCAAGUAUUUUCAUUUUCAGAGGAGAUAGGAGGGGAGAGAAUGAUAAAAAAAAAAUAGUAGAACACAAUGCCUGGAUGCAAGGGAGUGUAAUAAGAAUAUUUGAAAAGAUGAGUGAGAUCAAUAUGUAUUAUGUGAAAAGGUCAAGAUAUAUUUUAAAAAGUUGUAAGAACAGUAUAUUUGUGCUCAGAAAUAUAAGCAUGUUCAAAUAUGCACAAGAGAGAAAAAAGGACAUGAAAUAUUAAUAUGGUUUUCUUAAAACAAUGUUUCAUUAGGAACAUUUUUAUUUAAAAAAUGAAUCACUAAAAGUUACGUUGGAGUGGAGGGAAGGAAAGUAACGUGAUGGUAGCAGUGGUUACUUAAGCCACUUAAUUUACACAUAGUCUCAAGUCUGGUUUUCUUUGUAACAUACUUUUCUUUCACUUCUUAGUUAUCAUCUCCUUCGCUCACUAUUCCUCCGCCCUCAUGGAAAUGUGUUCACACACUUAUCUUAACCUUCUUUUUUACUUAGACUAUCAGAGCAGGAGUCUAUCUAAUUUCUUCAUUUGCAUAUGGAUUUUACAAGAGAUGAUACAUAUGUGGGGAAUACUUUAAAGGAAGGAUAUCUUCUGGGUAUUCCUUUAUUAAUAAAAGGUUAAUAUCAACCAAACAUCUUUUAGAAUGAACCAGGAUGUAAAUAAAUUAAAAUAAUCAGUAGCAAAGGGAAAAAUAAAGAGAGUGUCAUAUUCAAGAUUUUGAAGUAUUUUCUGAUGGGAUUUUUUGGGGCUGAGAGUAGAAAUUUCUCAGAAUCAGAAUACUAACAUGUAGUAUAAUCACAGAGGUCUGAAGUGGUGUUCUGGACCAUCUAAAAGGCGCCAUCCCUUUUGAGGAGAUGGGUAUGUUCCUUGAUCUCAAUAUGCCACAUCUACUAUAAACUUCUGAACCCUCCACCAUCAUUCAGGAUGCAUCUCUCAUGGUUGAAGAAGUGGCGGAGGAUGAUGUGGAGUGAGUGCCCGAGGAUCCUUGCCUGGGACAAUUUAUGGGAAGAAAAAUCUUACAGCUUGGGCACAAAGAAAAGAGCUCUUUUAUCCCAUCUUGUCUCCAAUCCAUUUUUAUUCAAGAAAGACUCAUUGAAGACUCCUUUGAGAAGAGUCUGUUUUGAAGAAGGAAAAGGAAAUACUGUUGAGACAAGAAGGCGAACAGACCAAAAGGGUGAUAGAAAAAUGUAUUUUAGUUGUGUGUAUAACAGCAAUGGGUAUUCAUAGAGUGAACAUGGAGAGCUGAGAAGGAAGAAAAUUAAGAAAUGACUGGAUUUUGUGCGUCCUGAUGAAAAAAUGUUGGCCAUCUACUAACACUGAAGACAGUUGAUGCUUUAGUCCCAGCAUUCUCUGUCUCUGCAGUGUGUAGUUAUCAUAAACUCUUUUUACUUUCAGAACCAGUCCUUUGUCCUCUGUGAGUGAUUGGUACUCUUGUUUCUGUUUCAGCAGUGCUUCCAAGGAUAAAUGAAAAAAUAUAUUGUCUGCCAAAACCUAAAAAGUACAUUUUGUUUAUUUAUAAUUAGAACUUUGCAACAUACCCCUCUUGUUUUUAAAAUUCUGUAGAGCUUAGAACCAACCAUUGUAGGGGCUUUUGGUCAAUAAAUAUUAUAUUUUCAAGAUGAAGUAUAAUCAUAUUCUGGUCAGUUUUUUAAUUUAAUAUGUAUAGAAAACUUCAUAAAACUGAUUUUAUUUUUUACAUUUAAAUGUGCGAUUUGUUGUGUGUAAUUAUACAAUUUGAUGUUUUUGUUGAGAUUUUAACAGAUCUUAUUUCACUAUGAUAAAACAAGAAAAUUAAAAUAGUAAAUAUGUUGUAAUAUUGAUACACAUAUUAAUUUCCUACAAAGUAACAAAUUUAUCUCAAUUAUUGGAAAUUUAAGUGUUUUAUCUGUUUUAUGUGGGAAACUUCUUAUGGAUUUGGCUUGUGUGUGUUUUUUAAAUUUAAAUAUUAUUUGUUUAAAAUUCUUUUUAUAUUAUGUAAUCAUAUUCUACUAGUCAGCUUUGCUUUGAAAGACAAGAGGACUUUUUUUUGAGCCUAUAAUUGGUUGUUUUAGUUCUCCAGGCUAAUAAUAUGAACUUUGAACUGUGUUCCUAAUUCUUCAGUCUUUCCUUAUUUUAAGGACUUUUAGAAAGGCAGUGAUCCAUUUUGAACAUAUUAUCUCAAUUGUCAAGAAUGUGUUUUCCUGAGUUUCUCCAAAGAGGAUUUCUUGACUGAAAGUCCUUUUCAUACACUGGGUUCUUUUAGUGUCCCCUUGUUACUCAGUGAUUAUACAUAUAUAUGUAAGGGUGUGACUUUGUUUUAACAUGACAUAGUCAACUGUACAAACAUGUUUAUCUCUGCAUUGCCAGCAGUGACAAAAAGCUAGAAACACCUUUAAUGUACAUCAAGAGGGAGAAUGGUUGCAAUGCAGGAAUGUUGUGGAGCUCUUAAAAAAUGGGUUCUGUGUGUUCAUUUUUUUAAGGAAUGUCUGUGAUGUUUUAAUAAGCGAGGAAAGCUAGUUAUAACUCAUAGAGUAUCCUAUUUUAAAAAGUUGUUUUUAUAAAGUAUAUAUAUUUGAAAUAAAGGCAUAAUUAUUGCUAUAUGGGAUGGAGGAUAAAGAAGGAAUAGAGAUGACCUAUAUUCCCUUUUCAUAAUUUUGUAGUAUCACAUUGGUUUCAGUGGAAGUAUUAUUUUUAUAAUUUUUGAGGAAGAAUUUAAGAAUUGUGGAAAAAGUACUUAAAUGCAAUCUUAUUGCAUCUUAUAACUUUAUAGAAUAACUUAAUAGUUAGAAGUAGAAAUACUGUGGUCAGGGAUGUACAUGAUUUACCAUUACUAUGAAAUAAAUUAAGGUGCUUCAGCAUCGUUUAUGAUUCAUAGGAACACUAAGACAGAAUCCAUUUUUACCUGUAGGAGAUAAUGAGUCGGGGCUGGUAUGUACAUUUGAAAUGUGGUCAAAAUUCUUAUUAUAGGGACUAGUUUCAGUUUAAUUUGCUUUCUUUCCUUAGCCUCAAUGCUUUUGCAUUUGAGACACUAAAUUGCUCAACAAAAUUUAAUUGAGAUUUCUUGUAUACCUUCUCUCUUAUCCCUUCUUUGAAAUGAGUAGGCAGAAGGGGAACAUUUAGCAGUAUAAAGAGGAAAACGAUGAAUGGUAUUUGAAUACUGUGCUGGAGAACACACUGACUAGAACUAGGCAUUGUGGACCUGUUCUGAUAAAAAAUUUUCCAGACCUGUGUUUACUCAGUUGUAAGAUAAGGAAUUUGGACUCAUAAAUAAAUACAAAGGGCUGUCCUGGAAAUGGUAUUACAUAAAUAAAAAAUCCUUGUAUAAUAGAGAUUUGAAUAGAUUUACCUUUGAGGGGAUGAAGUAUAAAUACUGUCCAACCUUGGUUCUUGACUAUCACCCAUCUUAACAGUUAGGUUCUUGACUAAAUUGUUCAUGGAAAAAUAUGUCUCAGUUGUCAAACAAAACUUCAGUUCUCGACCUGACAGCCCUUUGAUGCCUGUAUGAUCACUAAUGUGUCUCUGAGGUGAAAAACUAAGGAGAGAAUACGCGAAUGUGUGUCAGUUUACUGCUAAACCUCCCAUUGUUAACAUGUCAGGAAAUUGUGCUGUGAUUAUUUUCCUGUUUCUUUUUUUUGUUUUUGUCGUUGCUUAUUAUUAUUGAAUACAUACAGUAAGUUACCAUGGGUCCUAAGAAGGUUAGAGAUAGCAGUGAAGUGAAAAGGAAAAGCAUGAAAACAACAAUAGAGCUUUAAAAAGAAGCAGUUGCCGAGUAUAAUAGAGGUGUUCACGUGUCUGGUCUGGCUACCUACUCUGGCAUGGUGAAUUGACGAUUAGCACAAUUUUAAAACAUAAAGCGCCUAUCAAGAUUGCUGAUAUUGCUAAAGGUUAUGAAAGUGCCCA